GAUGAACGCUGGCGGCGUGCCUAAUACAUGCAAGUCGAGCGAACUUUUGGGAGCUUGCUCCCAAAAGUUAGCGGCGGACGGGUGAGUAACACGUGGGUAACCUGCCUGUAAGACUGGGAUAACUUCGGGAAACCGGAGCUAAUACCGGAUAACAUUGAAGACCACAUGGCCUUCCAUUAAAAGGUGGCUUUUAGCUACCACUUACAGAUGGACCCGCGGCGCAUUAGCUAGUUGGUGAGGUAACGGCUCACCAAGGCGACGAUGCGUAGCCGACCUGAGAGGGGAAUAGGCCACGCUGGGACUGAGACACGGCCCAGACUCCUACGGGAGGCAGCAGUAGGGGAUCUUCCGCAAUGGACGAAAGUCUGACGAAGCAACGCCGCGUGAGCGAAGAAGGCCUUCGGGUCGUAAAGCUCUGUUGUUAGGGAAGAACAAGUAUCGUUCGAAUAGGGCGGUACCUUGACGGUACCUAACCAGAAAGCCACGGCUAACUACGUG
rnacentral:rRNA from 1 species